rnacentral:rRNA from 1 species
GAGGAACGCUUUUUCUUGCGUGCCUAACACAUGCAAGUCGAGCGAACCCUUCGGGGUGAGCGGCGGACGGGUGAGUAACGCGUGGGUAACCUGCCCUGUACACACGGAUAACAUACCGAAAGGUAUGCUAAUACGAGAUAACAUGUAAUGAUCGCAUGGUCGAUACAUCAAAGCUCCGGCGGUACAGGAUGGACCCGCGUCUGAUUAGCUAGUUGGUGAGGUAAUGGCUCACCAAGGCGACGAUCAGUAGCCGACCUGAGAGGGUGAUCGGCCACAUUGGAACUGAGACACGGUCCAAACUCCUACGGGAGGCAGCAGUGGGGAAUAUUGCACAAUGGGCGAAAGCCUGAUGCACCAACGCUGCGUGUUCGUUGAAGGCCUUCGGGUUCGUACCGCUCUGUCCUCAAGGAAGAUAAUGACGGUACUUGAGGAGGAAGCCCCCGGCUAACUACU